AGGAGGAACAGCCCCAUUGGCGGGUCAGCUCUGGAAACCUGGAUUCAGCUCCGGCAGGAACUCCGUCUGCAGGGCCUGGAGGCUCCGGGGCGGG
rnacentral:pre_miRNA from 1 species